rnacentral:rRNA from 1 species
CAGCAGCCACGGUAAUACAGAGGGUGCAAGCGUUAAUCGGAGUUACUGGGCGUAAAGGGCGCGUAGGCGGCGGCCAAAGUCAGGCGUGAAAUUCCCGGGCUCAACCUGGGGGCUGCGUUUGAUACUUGGUUGCUUGAGUGGGGAAGAGGGUCGUGGAAUUCCCAGUGUAGAGGUGAAAUUCGUAGAUAUUGGGAAGAACACCGGUGGCGAAAGCGGCGACCUGGUCCUUUACUGACGCUGAGGCGCGAAAGCGUGGGGAGCAAACAGGAUUAGAUACCCGUGUAGUCCCUGUCUCUUAUAC